rnacentral:rRNA from 1 species
UACGGAGGGUGCAAGCGUUAUCCGGAUUCACUGGGUUUAAAGGGUGCGUAGGCGGGCAGGUAAGUCCGUGGUGAAAUCUCUGAGCUUAACUCAGAAACUGCCAUGGAUACUAUUUGUCUUGAAUAUUGUGGAGGUAAGCGGAAUAUGUCAUGUAGCGGUGAAAUGUGUAGAGAUCGGGAGGAACACCGGUGGCGAAGGCGGGUCUCUGGGCAUCUCCUGACGCUGAGGCGCGAAAGCGUGGGGAGCAAACGGG